AGCCUUGUCAGCAUGAAUAUGUGCGAACCGUAGAACUGUCUAACCUCUGCAACCGUGCUGAAGCAACUGCAAAUUGUGAGCAACAGCCAAAAUAAAAAAAAGGUUUGAAUAAAAAUAGAACACAGAAUGGAAAAUAUCUUUUAACUAUAUUCUGGUUUAUUUAAUUUACCAUGCUAUUUUACCCAGUUCUUUAAUCUGUAUUGCUAAUGACUCAGUACCUAUAAUCUUAACCUUGUUUUGUUUUUUAAACUUUGAUCAUAAUUAUGAUUAAAUAAUUCAUACUAAUAUACUAAAUCAGCCCUGUUUGUUUUGCUUUCAGUUUUCUGUAGAGAACAUGAUAUGCUGGAGAAAUAGAAGCAAUAGUUUCGUCAAUCACCUUAAUAUAAUUUAGGUACUCUGGGAACUAUAGUGUUAUAAGGCUCUUCAAUUCUUCUUACAGGUUCCAGAAGCCCCAAAAAACUGUAUUUCCAAGGGAUCUCGGUUCUCACAUGGUUGCUGGUGCUUAAAGAAGGUCAUAGCAGCAGCCUUAUCACUGCCAAACAAAGAUGGAAGGGAUAGAUGAAAUCAUGGGAAGGGCUGGUGGUGUGAUGAGGCCAUGCCAUUGACAAGCUGAUCCAACAUAUUGGAGCAGAUUUGGUUUACUUUGUAAUUAGCCUGGAGACGUAUCUAAAGCAACAACAUUACUCUGAACUGUCAAGAUAGUGAGGACUAUUUGCCUCUUCUAUUAUUAGGGAAAUUAUGCAAAUAUUUAGUUAAAAUUUGUUUUACUAACUGCCUCAAUUCCAAAUUCUAGAGGACCAUGGGCUGCUAUGCAAGAGGACGGAGUGGGAUCCACCAAGAAAUGAACGGACUCAAUGCUACUUGUAAUAGAUGCUACACUGAAGCUGGGUGUGAGUCUCUUUCUGGGCUUUCAGUUGUGAUUUGAUAUCCAGCCUAAUCCUUUAUGAGAACGCAUAACCACAUACCAUCAGUUGCCAUUUUUCGUGACUGCCCUGAAGUUGUAGUUAACCUGAACCCAGCUGGCAGAGUUUCUGAAGAGCCAGGCAUCAUGCUGAUUCCGUGGACUUCACGUGGAGGAAACUGUCUUCGCCAGGAAGAGCCACGCCUGAAAUUCUUAUCAUCAGCCUGUUCACACACAAUUUUUGUGUUUUACAAAAGGCAGAACUACAUAUUUCCAUUCACUUCUAUUAUCUUGUCAAAAAUGUUAUCCAAAUACAGUAUGGUGCAGUGUUCUAUUAAACUAGGCCUGGGGUGUUCCAAAUCCUCACUCAUCAUGCCAAUUGCGGGAUGAUCUUGGUCCACUUAAACUAAUGUACUUUACAGGGCUGUAGUGAGGUUAUAAUGGAGGAGGGGAGGUCCGUGUAUUCACAUAUUAAUAACACAGUUAAUGGGGGUACAAUUAAGCUUUUAUUUGUUAUCUUUUAAGACAUUUGUCUCUAUCUACUUCAUGCAUUCUUAUAAAAUUACCAACGAACAUU